GGGGUUUUGUGUAGCUUCGGAAGCGAAUACAUAGUUGGGACUUUCAUUGUAUUUGGCUCUGCUUGUAAAGCGGUGGCUAAAAGUUUAUGUUUGUUACAGUUUUCGUUUUCUGAAAAUAGAGUCAGUUGGAAUGUUGGUGAAUUGGUGAUUUCCUUUUUCAGAACCUCAAUGUAAAAUUUACGUCAAACAAUAAUAAUAUUAUUAGCAGCUUUA
rnacentral:lncRNA from 1 species